CGCCGCGGUAAAACCAGCUCCCCGAGUGGUCAGGACGAUUAUUGGGCCUAAAGUAUCCGUAGCCGGCUCCGUAGAUCCCCUGUCAAAUUCACCGGCCCAACCGGUGAGCCGCAGAGGAUAUCGCGGGGCUAGGAGGCGGGAGAGGCGGACGGUACUCCGUGGGUAGGGGUAAAAUCCACUGAUCCACGGAAGACCACCAGUGGCGAAGGCGGUCCGCCAGAACGCGCUCGACGGUGAGGGAUGAAAGCUGGGGGAGCGAACCGGAUUAGAUACCCGGGUAGUCCCAGCUGUAAACGAUGCGGGCUAGGUGAUGGAGCGGUCAUGUACCGUUCCGGUGCCGCAGGGAAGCCGUUAAGCCCGCCGCCUGGGGAGUACGGCUGCAAGGCUGAAACUUAAAGGAAUUGGCGGGGGAGCACA
rnacentral:rRNA from 1 species